UCGAACGGUAACAGGAAGCAGCUUGCUGCUUUGCUGACGAGUGGCGGACGGGUGAGUAAUGUCUGGGAAACUGCCUGAUGGAGGGGGAUAACUACUGGAAACGGUAGCUAAUACCGCAUAACGUCGCAAGACCAAAGAGGGGGACCUUCGGGCCUCUUGCCAUCGGAUGUGCCCAGAUGGGAUUAGCUAGUAGGUGGGGUAAAGGCUCACCUAGGCGACGAUCCCUAGCUGGUCUGAGAGGAUGACCAGCCACACUGGAACUGAGACACGGUCCAGACUCCUACGGGAGGCAGCAGUGGGGAAUAUUGCACAAUGGGCGCAAGCCUGAUGCAGCCAUGCCGCGUGUAUGAAGAAGGCCUUCGGGUUGUAAAGUACUUUCAGCGGGGAGGAAGGGAGUAAAGUUAAUACCUUUGCUCAUUGACGUUACCCGCAGAAGAAGCACCGGCUAACUCCGUGCCAGCAGCCGCGGUAAUACGGAGGGUGCAAGCGUUAAUCGGAAUUACUGGGCGUAAAGCGCACGCAGGCGGUUUGUUAAGUCAGAUGUGAAAUCCCCGGGCUCAACCUGGGAACUGCAUCUGAUACUGGCAAGCUUGAGUCUCGUAGAGGGGGGUAGAAUUCCAGGUGUAGCGGUGAAAUGCGUAGAGAUCUGGAGGAAUACCGGUGGCGAAGGCGGCCCCCUGGA
rnacentral:rRNA from 1 species